AUGAGCAAGAAUCAUUGAUCGGCUGCCUCCUGCACGCCCCCUACUGGGGAUCAAGCCCGAAACCCGGGCAUGUGCCCUGACUGGGAAUUGAACCCUGACCUCCUGGUUCCUAGGUUGAUGCUCAAUCACUGAGCCACACUGGCUGAGCUACUCAGUUAGUUUUUAAAUAUAUUUCUUUAUUGAUUUCAGAGAGGAAGGGAGAGGGAGAGAGAGAUAGAAACAUCAAUUAUGAAAGAGAAUCAUUGAUCAGCUGCAUCCUGCAUGCCCCCUACUGGGGAUCAAACCUGUAACCUGGGCAUGUGCCCUUGGCUGGAAUCGAACCUGGGACCCUUCAGUCCACAGGCCGACGCUCUAUCCACUGAGCCAAACUGGCUAGGGCACUACUCAGUUUUUUAAUCCCACCUAGCAUGUUUCAUGAAAUUUGUUGAGAAGUCUGCCUUAACCUUUGACCCUCCCCCCCAUUUCCUGGCCUGAUGUUAGAAGAUUGGGAGGGGGUGGAACUUUAAUGGGAACACUGUACCCCACAGCCUGUCUUCUCACUUGCAUCCGCAAGCCAGAGCUGGCUGUCACACAGGACUGAGGCAUCCAGAUAGAAGCCCCAGUAGUAUCCACCACAGGGCCACACUUUCCAGGGGUGGGAACGCCACCCCUGCCAGUUGGGCCCUGGAACCCUUGGCAGGCCGAGAGCCACCAAGGCACCUUUGCCCAGGCCAUGGCGAGACCUGCCCACCAUGGAGAACAGGUGCUUCAGCGGCGUCUCUUCUCUCCCGGAGUCUGUGUCUAUGUCUGCACCCAAUUCUUUUUUUUUCCUCAAAAAAAGGUUUUUAUUGAUUUUUAGAGAGAGAAGAAGGGAGAGGGAGAGAGAGAGAAACAUUGAUUUGAGAGCAAAUCAUACAACAGACAUUAGUGGACUCUCCUGCGUGCAACUGGCCAGACAGGUAAAAGCCUGGGGCGCUCACGCUCUGGCCGGGAGGCAGACACAGCCUGGCCCCUGAGACCAAGGCUGGCACGGAGGAAAGAUCAGCUGCCUCCAGCACACCCCCUACUGGGAAUGGAGCCCCAGCCUUCUGGUGCACAGGAUGAUGCCCAACCGACUCAGCCACACUGGCCAGGUCUCUGUGCCACAUCUUAGCCCUUGGGCCCUCCCUGCUGGACUCGCUCGUUCUUUUUUAUGUGAUGAAGGUCUGCACGCGCCAUGCAGCUCUGGCUUCUCCAUUGCAAUCACAGCCCGGUUCACUGAUGGGACUUGAGGCAACAUCUCACAGGUAAGUAUCUACCCACAAGGUCUCUGAAAGUGUUUGCCCUCAGAAGAUGGCCCACCCUCUCACCCGCUCUGGGAGGCUCUGUUUGUAAUUGUUCCACAGCAUUAACCUAUCUAAUGAGUUGGCCCGCUCGGCCUUUCUGUAAUAUUAAUGAUAACAGCUCCUGAGGUCUGGAUGAUACUCAUCUGGACCUUGUGGCAGCCCUGGUAUCAGGGCUGGUACACAGCCUGCAGGGCAGUGCUGGUUGUGGACUGAUUGGUCAGUGCCCUUGACUUCUGUUGUCAAAUAUUUUAAAAAUCACCAGAAUUUGCACAGAUUAUUUCUUUAAAUCCUUACAAGCCUAUUGGGUAGGUAGUUUUUAUUCCCAUUUUAAAGAUGAGGGAAAGCAGCACAGAUGUGUGAAGGAAUGCAUCCAAGUGGGACAGCUGGGCCUUGAACCUGGGCCUGUCUGCCCCUGAGCCCAUUCUCAGCUACCACCCUGUGCCCGUGAGUACCUACAGCUCAGCCUCUUAGUGAGGGGCAGGAGGCACAGCUGCUCUCCCAGAACACUGGAGCCGCACUUCCUCCAUGGAAGGGUCCCAGUCGGAAAGCCAGGCCAGUGACCAAAGGCGCUUGGGAACUGGCCCGGUUCUUUGCCACAUGUGCCAGGAGCAGAUCCAGCCAGCUGGGCUGUGGGGCUGCCAGGACCAUUCAGGUUGGUCAGCAAGCAUGUCUGGCGCCUCUGCCAGGUGUCAGGCCCGAUGCCAGAGGCAGGCAGGCAAGAUUGAGACCUUGCCUUCGGAGCACCGAGCUUCUCACCCUCCCCUGACCUCAGGCGCCCCUGUGAGGGGGCUCAGCUGCAGCCAUGUCUUUAUUUGCUGCCCCAUGUCCCUGAAGUUCCUGCCCUCUAGGCUGAGGACCACCCUGUCAAAGGCCACGGAGCAAAUCCAGACUCAAAAGAUGCAGCUGACAGCUCAGGGCCGCGGCAUCUCUUCCUGCAGCUCACACGGGGCACUGCAGCUGGCAGGGGGCUGCAGGCCUCCGGGGGUGGGCAGGACUGAGUCUGGCCAAAGGCAGGGUGUGGGAAGGGAGAGGCCAGUGAGCUGCAGUAGGACUACAGGCUCGUGAUGCCUGGGCCUUAGACCCAACCCCAUCCUGUCCCCUCUGCUAAGUCUUGGCUCAGUGCUGGGAGGUGAGCUUAUGGGAAAGGUCCUGGGGCCCUGUAUGUCCGACAGAGGGGGUGGGAAGGGAAGGAGGGGUUAGUGGAGCCCAGGCACCACCUCCAUGGGGACAUGUGCAGUCCCUCACACAGCCCUCAGGAAAAGGCCACCUGCCCAAGCCUCAGCCAUUCCUCAGCUUGCCCCAACUGACAGUGGUCUCACUGACACUGGUCAGGCAGCAGCAGAGGUCCCUGGCUGGGGGCAAAGCAAGGGGUGGGGGCCUGGCCAUGGGGCAUGAGCUGGUCCUUGUUGGCCUCUCCUGGGUCUGUUCCUCCCUUUGAUGUGUAAUGGGAACACAAUGAAUCUUUUGUGUAAGGACAGAUCUCAGGAAAUAAGCUGGGUUUGCAGUGCAUGCCUGCCUCCAUAAACUUAUUUUAAAGUACGUUUUUAUUGAUUUCAGCGAAGGGAGAGAGAGAAACAUCAAUGAUGAAAGCAAAUCAAUCAGCUGCCUCCUGCACGCCCCCUACUGGGGAUCAAACCUGCAACCCAGGCUUGUACCCUGACUGGGAGUCGAACCUGUGACCCACACCAGUCAGCAAGAGAGGCAGUUAAUAUGCAGGUUCAACAAGCAUAAAUGGGCACUGUCCUGAGCAAAUGGCGAUAUAUAUCCCUUUAAGGAUAAGGGGUCUGCCUGUCUCAUUACUGAAGGCCCUCCCCUCACCCCCCCUCCCAUCCCCCGUCAGAAGGCAAGGCUUUCUAGGACCCUUAGCCAGAGGAAACUUGUGAAACAGAUUUCAUUCAAAUGAAGACCAUUACCAAGUCUCAACUUCAAAAACUUUUAUUUUUGUCUGUUCAAGGGCACAGGAUACGUUCAUCAGUUCCAACUUUUGCUUUUCUCCUUAUAGACUGUUUCAUCACUAUACCCAGGGUACCUAUGUGACCAGCUUCCUAGAACCAAAAAUAUUUUUGCCUUCUGGUUAAGGUGCCCAAAUGAAGUAUGGCGUGCAAGUGGCAGUUUAAGCCGACUCCAAGCCACGCAUCACGUGCCAGGAGCCUCCUGCA